rnacentral:rRNA from 1 species
UACGUAGGGGGCAAGCGUUGUCCGGAUUUAUUGGGCGUAAAGAGCGUGUAGGCGGCCGUACAUGUCAGCUGUGAAAACUCGAGGCUCAACCUCGAGACGUCGGUUGAAACCGUACGGCUAGAGUCCGGAAGAGGAGAGUGGAAUUCCCGGUGUAGCGGUGAAAUGCGCAGAUAUCGGGAAGAACACCCGUGGCGAAGGCGGCUCUCUGGGACGGUACUGACGCUGAGACGCGAAAGCGUGGGGAGCGAACAGG